CCUACUUACACAUGUGUGGUGACAGCCUGGUACUGCUGUGUGCAUCCAGGACUAAAUUUGACAUUUGGAUACAUGUGGCAGCCUCUUCUCUCUCCCAGCCUUCGUCUCUUUCUGUCUCCCAAGAGCUCCGUCAGUAUGAAGAGGCCCGAGGACGCCAUCUCAUCUUCUCUCAGCCGGUGUCAAGCAGCAAUCCUGCGGGGCACGUCCCUGCUUAAUUCACCUUAGAGGCCCUCUCUCAUCCCGACAUUCCUGAUCGCCUCAUUUUUCCGGGUAUGCCUCUCAGGGCUGAGAAAGGUGGGGAACCCGCCUGAGGAGGAUUUCUUCAGACAUCCCCCUUAUAUAUCAAACUCCACGUUGGACACCAGGAGCAGCAGGUGUUAAAGUCUUCAUUCGUUUCUGUCUUGGUUAUGGAUGACUUGGCUGUAUGAAAUUACUCAAAUGGUGGCUGGCCAUUAAAUUCACAAGGAAUCGGGUAUACAGUAAAUGGGAAG